CUGAAUGAGUAGCGAGAUAGAGGUGGGAAUCCUCUAGGCCGAAUAUCCAAGGUUUCCAGGGUAAAGCUGAUCUGCCCUGGGUAAGUCGGGGCCUAAGGUGAGGACGAGAGUCGUAGCCGAUGGACAACAGGUGGAGAUUCCUGUACUAUGAUAUGACAGAACUGUGGGGACACGUGCAGAGAGCGGAAGCCGGGAAUGGGAUCCCGGUGCAAGCGAGGUACCAGCCGCAUUGGAAAAACCGUGCGGCAAUGGGAAGACGUGAUGCGGAGUGAAGUUUAGUAAUGAAGUCCGUGAGCUGUGCGUCAAGAAAAGCCGCUAUUGUUCAUACCAUACCCGUACCGUAAACCGACACAGGUGGAUGAGGAGAGAAUCCUAAGGCCGGCCGAAGAAGCAUUGUCAAGGAACUCGGCAAAAUGACCCCGUAACUUCGGGAGAAGGGGUGCCUGCGAGAGCAGGCCGCAGAGAAUAGGCUCAAGCAACUGUUUAGCAAAAACACAGGUCUAUGCGAAACCGAAAGGUGAGGUAUAUGGGCUGACGCCUGCCCGGUGCUGGAAGGUUAAGAGGAGAGGUUAGCGCAAGCGAAGCUUUGAAUUUAAGCCCCAGUAAACGGCGGCCGUAACAAUAACGGUCCUAAGGUAGCGAAAUUCCUUGUCGGGUAAGUUCCGACCCGCACGAAAGGCGUAAUGAUUUGAGCGCUGUCUCGACAAUGCAUCCGGUGAAAUUGAAGUACCAGUGAAGAUGCUGGUUACCUGCGCCAGGACGGAAAGACCCCAUGGAGCUUUACUCCAGUUUGGUACUGGGAUCCGGUACUGCAUGUACAGGAUAGGUGGGAGGCUAUGAAUCGGUAACGCCAGUUGCCGAGGAGCCGCUGUUGGGAUACCACCCUUGCAGUAUUGGGUUUCUAACCAGCCGCCGUGACCCGGCGGUGGGACAAUGCCAGACGGGGAGUUUGACUGGGGCGGUCGCCUCCGAAAGGGUAUCGGAGGCGCCCAAAGGUUCCCUCAGGAUGGACGGAAACCAUCCAAAGAGUGCAAAGGCAGAAGGGAGCUUGACUGCGACACCGACGGGUGGAGCAGGUACGAAAGUAGGGCUUAGUGAUCCGGUGGUAUUAAGUGGGAAUGCCAUCGCUCAACGGAUAAAAGCUACCCUGGGAUAACAGGCUUAUCACUCCCAAGAGUUCACAUCGACGGAGUGGUUUGGCACCUCGAUGUCGGCUCAUCGCAUCCUGGGGCUGUAGUAGGUCCCAAGGGUUGGGCUGUUCGCCCAUUAAAGCGGUACGCGAGCUGGGUUCAGAACGUCGUGAGACAGUUCGGUCCCUAUCCGGCGUGGGCGAAGGAUAUCUGAGAGGAGCUGUCCUUAGUACGAGAGGACCGGGAUGGACGGGCCGCUGGUGCACCGGUUAGACUGCCAAGUCUAUAGCCGGGUAGCCAAGCCCGGAAGGGAUAAACGCUGAAGGCAUCUAAGCGUGAAGCCCCCCUCAAGAUGAGAUAUCCCAUCCGAAAGGAGUAAACCCCCUUGAAGACGACGAGGUCGAUAGGGCAGAGGUGGAAGUGUGGUAACACAUGGAGCUGACUGCUACUAAUAGGGUGAGGGCUUGACCG
rnacentral:rRNA from 1 species